rnacentral:rRNA from 1 species
CUAUGCGCCUUGCCAGCCCGCUCAGGUGUGCCAGCAGCCGCGGUAAUACGGAGGAUGCGAGCGUUAUCCGGAUUUAUUGGGUUUAAAGGGUGCGUAGGCGGUCCGUUAAGUCAGCGGUAAAAUGUCCGGGCUCAACCCGGGCCGGCCGUUGAAACUGGGGAUCUUGAGUGGGCGAGAAGUAUGCGGAAUGCGUGGUGUAGCGGUGAAAUGCAUAGAUAUCACGCAGAACUCCGAUUGCAAAGGCAGCAUACCGGCGCCCGACUGACGCUGAGGCACGAAAGCGUGGGGAUCGAACAGG